rnacentral:rRNA from 1 species
AGUGGCAGACGGGUGAGUAACGCGUAGGAAUCUACCCCUGGGAAUCGAAUAGCUCUCCGAAAGGAGAGGUAAUACGGUAUGGUCUCGCAAGAGUAAAGGACUUAACGGUCCGCCGAGGGAGGAGCCUGCGUCCUAUCAGCUAGUUGGCGGGGUAAAUGCCCACCAAGGCGAUGACGGGUAGCUGGACUGAGAGGUCGAUCAGCCACAACUGCACUGAGACACGGGCAGUACACCUACGGGUGGCAGCAACUGGGAAUAUUGCGCAAUGGGCGAAAGCCUGACGCAGCGACGCCGCGUGGAGGAAGACGGCCUUCGGGUUGUAAACUCCUUUUGCCAAGCCUUUCACGGCUUGGAGAAUAAGCUCCUACUAACUACGUGCCAGAAGUCUCGGUAAUACGUAGGGAGUAAGCAUUAUCCGGAUUCAUUGGGCGUAAAGUGUGAGUAGGCGUCUCUUCAAGUCUUUGCUUAAAUACCGGGGCUUACCCCCGGACCUGGCUAAGAUACUGGAGAGAUUGAGGAUUGGUAGGGAUGCUGGAACAGUUAGUGUAGCAGUGAAAUGCGUUGAUAUUAACUGGAACACCGAUGGCGAAGGCAAGCAUCUGGACUCUUCCUGACGCUGAGGCACGAAAGCUAGGGUAGCGAAACAGAUUAGAUACCUGUGUAGUCCUAGCCGUAAACGAUGUCCGCUAGCUUUGUGCUGUUGAAGUACGAGGUGUAAGCUAACGCGUUAAGCGGACCGCCUGGGGAGUACGGCCGCAAGGCUAAAACUCAAAGGAAUUGACGGGGACCCGCACAACCGGUGGAGCGUGUGGUUCAAUUCGAGACAAAGCGAAAAACCUUACCAGGGUUUGACAUGCUAUCGUUUUAUACCUUUGGAAACAUUGGUAGAUCCGUAAGGAUGAUAGCACAGGUGUUGCAUGGCUGUCGUCAGCUCGUGCCGUGAGGUGUUCCCUUAAGUGGGGAAACGAGCGCAACCCCCGUGAAAUGUUACAUAUUCAUUUCAGACGGUCCCGAUUAUCUCGGGAAGGAAGGAGGGGAAGACGUCAAGUCCGCACGGCCCUUAUACCCUGGGUUACACACACCCUACAAUGGCGAAAAACAACGAGUUGCGAGCACGCGAGUGUAUGCUAAUCUCUCAAAUUUCGCCUCAGUUCAGAUUGGAGUCUGCAACCCGACUCCAUGAAGUCGGAAUCGGUAGUAAUCGCGGAUCAGCAGGCCGCGGUGAAUACGUUCUCGGGUCUUGUACACACCGCCCGUCACGCCAUGGAAG